GAAGAACAUGCCCUUGUUGCUGUCUUACUCUUUAAGACAUGGAAGAUUAAGGGGAAAGGUGAGGAAGUAGGAGACAAGAGAGAUACACACUGUUGUGAGGCUACAGGUAUAGAUGGCUGAGAAAAUUCAGACCCAGGCUCACUGCAGAAGCUGGGCUCCCACAUUUGUCAUAGCAGCACAUGCAAAGGCAAAGUGGUGGGGAAAUAAGCUGAGACAUCACCAGGAGACAUUUGAAUCCAAACGGGAGUCAUGUCAUCGUGAAGUAAUGGACUCCUGUAGGAAAGAAUAAACUUGGUCAUGCAUAGAGUAACGGCAAUCUUUCACAAAGCAUGCCAAUUGAAAACCACUACAUGCUA
rnacentral:lncRNA from 1 species